rnacentral:rRNA from 1 species
CCUACGGGAGGCAGCAGUGGGGGAUAUUGCACAAUGGGGGGAACCCUGAUGCAGCGACGCCGCGGGGGUGAAGAAGCGCCUCGGCGCGUAAAGCCCUGUCAGCAGGGAAGACAAUGACGGUACCUGAAGAAGAAGCCCCGGCUAACUACGUGCCAGCAGCCGCGGUAAUACGUAGGGGGCAAGCGUUAUCCGGAUUUACUGGGUGGAAAGGGGGCGCAGACGGCGAUGCAAGCCAGGAGUGAAAGCCCGGGGCCAAACCCCGGGACUGCUCUUGGAACUGCGUGGCUGGAGUGCAGGAGGGGCAGGCGGAAGUCCUGGUGUAGCGGUGAAAUGCGUAGAGAUCAGGAGGAACACCGGUGGCGAAGGCGGCCUGCUGGACUGCAACUGACGUUGAGGCCCGAAAGCGUGGGGAGCAAACAGGAUUAGAUACCCUAGUAGUC